ensembl:lncRNA
CAGAAAGAUGGUAAGAGUCUCUGUCCUUGGGGAUCUUCAAAAGCCACUUGGAUGUGGUCCCAGCAUCCUGUUCCAGGUGGUCCUCUGGGUGGCAGGAAGUUGGAUCACGUGUCCUGCAGAGAUCCUUUCCAGCCUCAACCAUUCUGGGGUUCUGUGAAAAACUGCAUACGUUUGUUAAGCUAUGUGUAGAUAGUAAAUAAGCUUUAUAGGAAGUUUUGUUUCCUUUUUCUACCGUUUAGGAUGCUCUUUGGGUCCUCUGCGGCUGAGGAGGAAACAGUUUUCCUUCUGUUCUUUAUCAUAUCAUUCACAGUCACUAUAGAUUGCAACUCGGCUAUGGUCUGUGUUCGUUGCCUCUGUUCCUGCCACUGGGUACCACUGACAGGAUGUGCUCCUUCCUCUUUGCACAAAUACUCGAGGAAACUACAGCUGGAGCCUGAGUCAGCUUUCAUAGGCACAAGUUCUCCUUUGACAGAAUGUGACUUCUUCAUGUUUACUAAGUGUAUUAAGUUGAAAGGUCCUGAAUGUAUAUUACUUCCUGAAGCAUAGCCUGCCUUGCUAAACUAGCACUCAGUAUCUCUGUCACAACUCACUUUGAUACCCGUCAGCACUGGCAGUUUCUAAUUGUAGCUUUUUAACUUCUUCUGCAUAGAAUUUAAAACUUGCCUUCCAACACAGAUUUUUUUCUUCUGAAACGUGUGCUGUCCAAGAGCUCACAGUGAUUUCUACAGCUUUGUGUUAUGCUGCCAUAACUGGGUUGACACAGUGCCUUCAUGCAGUUGUGAUCCCUGGUAAAGUUUCGUUCUCACUCUUUUCAUCCAAAUUGUUUAUUUUUGGGAAUUUCCUGCUCAAGUGAUCAAGAGCUUUGAUAUUCUCAAAAUAGCGUUGUUUUUUUUCCCCCCACUUGUUUAAACUGCACAUGGUAAUGGGAAGAGAGCAUGGCCAAAGCUAGGAAAAAUAUUUUUAGCAAAAUGAAAUUAGUUGAAGAGUUGUUCUGUAAUUUUUUAGGGGGAGUGUUUUGUCUUCCAUCCUUUCCUUGGGGCAGGAUCAGGGCCAGCAUCUAUUGCAAAUGCAGCCACUUCACAGAGCACCAUGGUUGGGCACCUGCUUCCUUUCAUCCCAGAAAAGAAGUUCCAGCUUUGAUCCUGAAGAGACUCAUGUUGGUUCAGCUAUGGGAAUACGGGUCUGUGUUUGCUUUAUGGAAGGGUGUUUGUUUUAAUGUUCCCUUUCAAAGUCAGGAAAACAAAUCCAAAUGAAAGAGCAGAGAAAGAGGCUUGCUUGGAUUAUUGUGCGUGCAUUUGUGUGACUGCACUUAGCAUUCUGCUGCUUUUACUCUUUGCUGUUAAAUUCAUGUGAUGACCUUUAGAUGUUGAAUAUUUCUAUAUUCUGCUUUUGCUCAGGUAUUCACUUAGUCUGCACAGGUUGUGGGGGGGGUGUUGGUUCCAAGGUUCUGCCCUGCUUGCCAUGCAGGAAGGAGGAUGAGGCUCUGAAAAAGAUAGUGCUUCAUUAUGAAUGGUGGAUUGGGAAGAAAGCUUUGGCACCAAGCAAAGUAUUUUUAAUAUCAGGUGCAGUACAAGGAUGAUUUUUCUAACUUUCUCAGUUUCUGGGGCCACAGAUAUCUUGAUCCUUUAUUUCUCUCUGUAUUUGCUGUUGAUAAUUAUACACAGUUUAUAUCAGCAUACGUCUUGCUCUCAAUGUAUCCAAGAAAAUCAAAAAGCUGCUUAUAUAGUCAAGUAAGUAUGCAUAUAUUUGUGAAAAUGAGGUUUAAAUUAUCACCUUAAGAUUUUUAUUGUGUGUUUAAAAGAAAUUUACUGUAGAAUUAUUUAUGAUUAACCCAGUUAUGCUGGAUUGGGCUAUGACUGCCUCUAUAUACCUGCGAAGCUGCUCUGCCGUUCCUCUACUUGCGCAUCAGUAUGAGUCCCCUAGAUGGCAGGAGAGGAUCGGUAUAACCACGCCAAACCGUUGCUAGUUCGGUGCGUUUCAGUGUGGGCAUGAAGGAUUUUGACGGUUCCUUGUCAGAACGGAGUUGUUGUGUAACAGCUCAGUCGUGGGAACCGUGCUUAGCUACAGAGGAGAGGAAAGUUGAAUCACUUCAGUUGCGAAGCUUUCCGUGAGUUCUGAAGGGUUUUGAAUCUCAGUUCUGUGGCUUAAAGCCAUUUUGUCUCUCAUCUACUGUUUAAAAACACUGCAUUCUUGACAUUUUCUUGUGCUUCCAUCUGAGAAUGAAGACAUUCAAAAAGAAAAUGAGUCUCAUGGUGGUACUUCAUUUUUAUAAUAACAUCUGCCUGCUGUCCCUGACUUGCACUAUUUUUCGAAACUUUGAUAUUUGUUCCUCUGUGGCUCUACAAAGUUGCACAAUUACUGCUCAGAAAUUGCAAGGCAGAUGGUAGUGGUCGACAGUGCUUUGCAUCUGUAACAUUUGAACCUUCAGUUCUACUUCCGAAAUUAUGGAGACACUUUGCUGUAUGUAGCCAGAAUGAAGAGUAUAGUUUCCUGUAGGCUUAAUCCAUGUGAAAGCUAAAAUGAAGUGAUAAGGCAAUUUUGUUGGUGUUAUUAGUGGUGAGUAGAGUAACAGUGGUCCCCAUGUGCAGUACCACCAACAGUGUUUCAUUGUCCGUUUCAUCUCUUUUGUAGCGAAUGCAAUGCACACCUGUGAAAUGGUGGUACUCCUUGCUAUUCUGCACUGCUGGUGCUAAGUGAUUCAGUAUCUAUCAGUAUUUUCAAUGUUCAAAUUAGAGAACUAAGGAAUGUGGAAUGUUACCAGAUGUUGCAUGGUUCAUGAAUAUGAGUGAAGCAUCUGAGACACAUUUGUGCCUGCAGUGAAUUUCCUCUGAAAUUCACGUGGGGUGAGAUGAGAAGCUAGAACAAAGAUUGAAGCAUAGUGUUGAAGUACUCCUUCUUGUUGAGGAAAAGUUGGAAUGGAACAAGGAAGCACAACAUGGUGGCACAUUGUGCUAUCAGUUCUCCAGUAGUUUUGUAGUUUGGAAAGCUCUAUGCGUUUGUUUUAGACUUGAUAAAUCAGAAUAAAAUUUUUGUCCUUAACAAAACAGCAUGCCAGCAUCUACCAGUGUGUCUUAUGAUGACUUUGAAGACCAUAGAAUUUAUAUGAGGCUUGGUUGCCAGUAUAAAUUCUUGACGUAUAUUCAGUCAUGAGGCAGCAAAAUAAGGUUCUUCACCUAUGCUGCUUGUAUAAAGUAAAUCUGAAAUGGAAGAAAAAUGCUUUCUUUAGCCAGCACUUCAGAUGCAGAAGGGAACUUCCCCCUGACUAAACUAGAGAAGACAAUGCACUGCAUCCUGCCAUCUAGCAUUCCUCUUCUUGGCACCUAGAGCUGCCUUUUCUCUGACUGUUGAUUAAUGAAUUUGAGCUAAUCUCCAAGCAAUUGUUCUGAGCUCAUUUGCAGUUCACAAGUUACUGUUUCUAUUUUAGGCCUGAAGAAAAAAUUAAACAAAACCAUGUCAGUUUGUUCCAAAAAUGUGUAUUUUCCUAAUUACACUUUUGGAGAGACACAAGAUACACAUGUGAAUGUAUCGAUUUGGUGUGCAUGUGUGAUGUCAGUAGCCUCAUGUGCUAGUUACCUGCCAAAUACUUACACUGUUAGGCAAUACCAAAUGAGUUUCAAGAUGAAUGUGAUGCUGUGUGGACUGAUGAAGAUGAAAGAAAGCAGAGAGUGGAUGCAGUUAUUCAGUGAAGACCAAUGUUGCAAAUAAAUUGCAAUGUUAAUUAGGAUAAAAUAGUAAAAUUACUCUUCUCCUGUCCCUGUUAUACUUUUCCUCCAUAAUUUUGUAGAGGCUGUGUCAUCAUAUUUAAUCACAUAACUUUAUUCAAUUCCCAGCUAUGCUGCACAUGGACAGAAUUUAAAAUCAUUUCCUGUAAAAUACUUUGCAAUAUGCACAAGAAGAAAAAAAGUCUUAUAUAAAUGCAAAUGGAAAGGUACAAUUUUCCCUUUUAUGUUUCAUGAUCUCAUAUUUUUAUGUAUUUACUUCUAUACAGGUCAUUACUAUUGUAAAGAGUACUGCCUAGCACUUGGUACUUGUAUUUCUGUCCACCAAGAAAAAGAAUCUCGGGAUACAACUUUCAAAAACGGUGUUGCUAAAACUGAUAGUUACUUCAGGGAAAAUUUGAUACUUAACACUGGUUAAAAAAAAAACUGUGACAGAAAAAUAUAACCAUUUUCUGUACAAACAGAACUCAAAGUUCUGGUUUGGGGCCUCCUUUUUUGACUGCGUUCUCUGAGAAAUGUUCUCACUGAAUCAUCUGCUUGCUUGCCUGUUUUUUCCCCUCAGCUAUUCCCACAGCAGCUCUUUACAAUCUGCAGGCAGCAAAACUUAAGCAAAAGGUUCAUCCCUUUGGCCAGAUUCAAAAAGGGAACUGCUGUCAGAUCUUGCGCUUGGACAUUUUGUGUCCUAAUAUUUUUGUUGUGAAAAGUUUCUUUGGCCAAACUUUACAAUCUGACAACGAAAAAUCUUCAACCACAACUGCUUUCCCCAUCAAACGGCUACUAUUGAACUGUGCUCCUUUCCAAGAUGAAUACGGACUCAAAAUAUUUUCCUUUUGCUUUUUUUCAGUGAAUUGCAAGACUGCAGCAACUUAAUAGAAUCAAUUUUUG